rnacentral:rRNA from 1 species
AGAGUUUGAUCCUGGCUCAGAAUGAACGCUGGCGGCGUGCCUAACACAUGCAAGUCGAAUGUGCCGCAAGGUGCAUGGCAGACGGGUGAGUAACGCGUAGGGAAUCUACCUUUUAGUGGGGAAUAACGCUCCGAAAGGAGUGGUAAUACCGCAUGAGACCGUAGUCUGGGAUGACUACGGUGAAACCUGGGGACCGCAAGGCCUGGGGCUAAAAGAGGAUCCUGCGUCUGAUUAGCUAGUUGGCGGGGUAAUGGCCCACCAAGGCGACGAUCAGUAGCCGGCCUGAGAGGGUGAUCGGCCACACUGGAACUGAGACACGGUCCAGACUCCUACGGGAGGCAGCAGUGGGGAAUUUUGGACAAUGGGCGCAAGCCUGAUCCAGCCAUGCCGCGUGCAGGAUGAAGGCCUUCGGGUUGUAAACUGCUUUUGUACGGAACGAAAAGACUCCUUCUAAUAAAGGGGGUUCAUGACGGUACCGUAAGAAUAAGCACCGGCUAACUACGUGCCAGCAGCCGCGGUAAUACGUAGGGUGCAAGCGUUAAUCGGAAUUACUGGGCGUAAAGCGUGCGCAGGCGGUUAUAUAAGACAGAUGUGAAAUCCCCGGGCUCAACCUGGGAACUGCGUUUAUGACUGGCAGGCUAGAGUAUGGCAGAGGGGGGUGGAAUUCCACGUGUAGCAGUGAAAUGCGUAGAGAUGUGGAGGAACACCGAUGGCGAAGGCAGCCCCCUGGGCCAAUACUGACGCUCAUGCACGAAAGCGUGGGUAGCAAACAGGAUUAGAUACCCUGGUAGUCC